rnacentral:tRNA from 1 species
GAUCCGGUAGCUCAGUUGGUAGAGUAAAUAGCUCUGUGCUGAAAUUUCCUCUCUACUGUAGGCCAAUUAGCGCAUACUACCUAUUGUGUCGUCGGUUCGAUUCCGACCCGGAUCC